GCAGGCUUCUCCGGGCUCAUAGAAGGCAUGGUCUGGGUCAGAGAGAGAGAAGAAAGCUGAUGGCCACUACUUUCUUCAACAGACUGUCAGGGGUUCCUCGGUGCUUGGAGGUCAGGUUGGGACUGCCUGGAUUUGAGAACCGUGUCCUAUUUGUGAAGAGAGCAAAGCCUGCCCAGUCUGAAUAAUUUGGAUAUACAACGAGAAGCAUGUAGAGAGAUGAAAUGUAAAAGAAAAAAACACCUCCAGUCAGUGGUCACCACAUGGAAAUCCCCUCUAGUUAUUACAUAUUUUCAGAAAAUGUUUUACAAAUCUCUUUUAUAACUGACGUGAUAUAAUCUACGUUAUCCAGGCGGCUGUGAAGCUGCACUAUAAAGAUCUAUCUGUGUCAGUUUUAAAGGGUGUGAAAACUCUGUAACGCAUUUUCUUUUAAAAAGAAAGCCAGACUGAAUGGUUUUACCGUCCUGUAGUUGGCUACACAGGCCAAAUAUGAUGACAACAAACCCAAAUGAAGCAGCUCAAGGUCUGUUUUUUUGACAAACACAACACAGGCCUUUGCAGCUGAAAUCUUGGACAACGAGGCAAGGUCGAUGACUGAAGAUUUUUUUUUUUUUUUUUGCCAUAAAACAAUACACCCUGGCUCAAUCUGUGACUCGGCUUUGGUCCCAUUAAUAGAUUUACUGAGGCUCAGGGGGGUUUGCAGGUGUGGAUGCUUCAUCUCAAGACGUGUUACAUUAUCUCAUGUGUGCACCCCCCCUCCUCCUCCUCCUUCCACACACACACACACACACAUACACACACACACCAUGAAGUUGUGUUGGCUUUAAUUGGAGGCCCCUUGAUAACAGCGCUAUAAGACAAGGCUGUAACCCUCCUGGACGGCCUGGACCUGCAGCUGUGCGCUCUGUCAGUGUCUCAGCACCAGCGAGAGAGCGGUGAAAAGGACACACGGAUUUCAUUUCACCUGGACACAGACACCCUGAGAGGAAUGAUCAACUCAACUCUGUGUGAUAUUUAAUCUGGCUGCUGUUUUUUGCCCCCACCUCUCCCCUUAAAUCUUCUCCGGAAAUAAAAAGAGAAAGGCAACAACUGAUUUCCCCAAUUUGGACACAUAUUACAUCGCGUAUAUGUUCGUUGUUUUUUUUUUUUAUGAAGACAUCUAUCAUACCGUUAAUGUCGAUAAAGAAUACUGAUUUGACCCGUUGCCUCCAGCAGUGACAUUUCAUUUGACUGAAGAGGGUUUAACAAUGUGUCAGUGAACACAAGGGGCUGAGGGAAUAAUGUCUUUUUGUUGUCGUGUUGUUUUGUUUCCUUUCUUUUGCAUCUAAUUGGGAUGUUACUAAAUAGGAGGCAAUAUACUAAUGACUUGUUUUGCUUUCUGUAAUCAUCUCAUAAUGUCACCAUUUUCUGCAGAGAUAGGCUACAAUACGUGAAAUCAACCUUUUAUCAAAACUAAGUGCCUGAAUUUGAAAUAAUAAUUCUGUUUUUUAAUGUUUUUUCUAAAUAUAUGUCUUUAAUUUAUCCAUCUAGUUAUUGUAUGUUACCUAUCACAUGUCGUUACUGGCUUAAAAUAAAUGGAAGUAAGUUAAUCUGGGCGAUGUUGUGUCAUUUUUCGUUUAGUUAAUGAGAAUGAUUUGCCCUAAUUUUAGAUUUGUGAUCUUGUUUGACCAAAUUAAGGCUUGAAAAAAACGCAUAAUACUUGCUGAUUAUUCCUCUAUAUUACCGUGCUUCGUUUAAAACCUGGGCGCCUUUUAAAAAGAAGAAGAAGAAGAAGAAAACAGAAAAAAGUGAAAUUAAAACAGUAUUAACAACCAUGUUUAC